AACGAACGCUGGCGGCAUGCCUAACACAUGCAAGUCGAACGAGACCUUCGGGUCUAGUGGCGCACGGGUGCGUAACGCGUGGGAACCUGCCUUUAGGUUCGGAAUAACUCAGAGAAAUUUGAGCUAAUACCGGAUAAUGUCUUCGGACCAAAGAUUUAUCGCCUUUAGAUGGGCCCGCGUAAGAUUAGCUAGUUGGUGGGGUAAAGGCCUACCAAGGCGACGAUCUUUAGCUGGUCUGAGAGGAUGAUCAGCCACACUGGGACUGAGACACGGCCCAGACUCCUACGGGAGGCAGCAGUGGGAAUAUUGGACAAUGGGCGAAAGCCUGAUCCAGUAAUGCCGCGUGAGUGAUGAAGGCCUUAGGGAUGUAAAGCUCUUUUACCUGAGAUGAUAAUGACAGUAUCGGGAGAAUAAAGCUCCGGCUAAACUCCGUGCCAGCAGCCGCGGUAA
rnacentral:rRNA from 1 species